GACAGAGGAUGCAAGCGUUAUCCGGAAUGAUUGGGCGUAAAGCGUCUGUAGGUGGCUUUUUAAGUCCGCCGUCAAAUCCCAGGGCUCAACCCUGGACAGGCGGUGGAAACUACCAAGCUGGAGUACGGUAGGGGCAGAGGGAAUUUCCGGUGGAGCGGUGAAAUGCGUAGAUAUCGCUUGGAACGCCGAAGGUGAAAACAGGUUGCUGGGGUUGUGCCGACGCUGAGACACGAAAGCCAGGGGAGCGAACGGG
rnacentral:rRNA from 1 species